AAGGUCUGGGGACUUGAGUUUCCAAAACAAACCCUCAAAUGAGACCAAAGGUUUUUUUCCCCAUGAUUUCCAAGUAAAAAAAAAACAACGACACAAGGAAUUUCAAAUAACUUGAACUUGUCACUAAGAAGAUGAAGGAACUGAAACAGGUACAUCAACAAAAACAGGCUCAGCUUGGCUUACAGCAGCGGGUUCAACUUGGCUUGAAUGAGUGGGGAUACUGGGUCAAUUUCAACAUUUUCAAAAGCUUCAUCCACGAGAGGAGAAAGAACUUGGUCCCAUUGAGUAUUUUCAAUAGUCUCUUUAAUCUUGGCUAACUCAGAUUCCAAGUCAAAAUUCUCCCAGCUAGCUUCAACAAGGGUAUCAUGGCGAGAAUUUAGGAACGCCUAACUCGCUUCAAUGGAAAAUUUAUCUUCAAGAAUCUCGCAGUCUCUUUCCCAGUCAGUAAUUUCAUUCUUAAGUUCUCAUUUUCAGCCAAGGCAGAUCUGUAAGAAGCUUGAAGAGAGGCAUGAGAACUUUCUAAGGCACAAACCUUUUAGAAGAAGCUUGGAGGUCUUCUUGUGCUUGAGUCAAAUUCUGCACAAGCUCACUAGCAUA
rnacentral:lncRNA from 1 species